CCUAGAAUUAGACAAAAAUACACAUAUCACCCAUGUCACACCCUGACCUAACCAAAAUAAUAAAGAAAACAAAGAAUACUAAGGUCAGGGCGUGACAGUAGCACUGACUUUGCUUAUAAAUACCUUGUUGAGGGAAAAUAUAAUUGAUACGAUUGUGAUAUGUUGGUGUCUCUCCUAACUAUUUUAAGAUGAAUGCACUAAUUGUAAGUAACAAUGGAUAAGAGCAUCGGCUAAAUGACUAAAAUGUAAAUGCAAAAAUGGAACUCACAUUACAAAACAUAUUAUUUAACACUGACUAUUAACAUUGCAGUACUAAUGAACAUCUCCGGACUAUGUACUCAACAAGCUCAGUGUGCAGUGUUAAAUGGCCAAAUUCUGAAAUCCUGAAAUGGCUGUUUUGCUUUGACUGAUAGUGAGAGCUGUGAUUCUUAUCGUGUCAGAUCUAAGCCAAUGACAGAGGCUUUAUAGCAGUCCAUUGCCGAUACAGGGAAACAGUCUUUUGUAAAACAGCACCAUCCAAUAAUGUGUUCUCUUAUAGAAACACAGUAAUGAACAGCACUGAAAGGUUUGCUGCAUAAGUGUAGUUGGACACACACACACACGCACACACACACACACACACACACACACACACACACACACACACAGCCUUUCCGCCAUACCAUUUUAUCUUUCUUUUCAUAUUGGAAAGAUUUAGAGCUUCCGAAAUGAGAAGGUGAGAGAUGAGACUGCAAAAGAGAGGGAGAGAGAGGAAGGGAGAGAGAUGAAUGAAUGUCAACAAUUUUCUUUCACUCUGAGGAUAUUGGAAAAGCUUCAAACUGUCAUAAACUUUGUGGUUCAUGCAUGAUUCCUGUGUGUGUGUGUGUGUGUAUAUGUGUGUGUGUUUAUUUCUUGCCUGUGAACGGGGAUGAGUCUAAGCCGAAAAAUAGCCGUGAGAUUGGCAGUCGGGUUGAUGCAGGAGGAAAAUGCUCUACUCGGCUGAUGGAUCAUGAUGUGGCCGAAGUUCUUUUGAUAUAAUUUCUACCUAUUUCCUCAAAGCCUACAAACACUGCAAUCAGAGGGAAAACGGUGGAUUAUUGAAUAAAGCACGCCAGCUAAACUGAGUUUUGGGGGAUAUAAAGAAGGACAUUAUUGAACAAAAAGACCAUUUGAAGAAGAAGAUCUUCAUAGGGCGCUGUCCUCAGAUAAUCGCAUGGUGUGCUUUCGCCGUAAAGCCUUUUUGAAAUCU